rnacentral:tRNA from 1 species
AUCCCUGUAGCUCAUUUGGAAGAGCGUCACGCUACGGACGUGAAGGUGGUAGGUUCGAGCCCUAUCAGGGAUACCA